UACGUAGGGGGGCAAGCGUUGUCCGGAAUCAUUGGGCGUAAAGAGCGUGUAGGCGGCCCGGUAAGUCCGCUGUAAAAGUCAAAGGCUUAACCUUUGAAUGUCAGUGGAUACUGCCGGGCUAGAGUCCGGAAGAGGCGAGUGGAACUCCCUGGUGUAGCGGUGGAAUGGCGCAGAUAUCAGGAAGAACACCAACGGCGAAGGCAGCUCGCUAGGACGGUACUGACGCUGGAGACGCGAAAGACGUGGGAGCGAACACGG
rnacentral:rRNA from 1 species